rnacentral:rRNA from 1 species
CGGGGUGCAGCAGGCGCGAAAACUUUACAAUGCCGGCAACGGCGAUAAGGGGACCUCGAGUGCCAGGUUACAAAUCUGGCUGUCGUGAUGCCUAAAAAGCAUUGCAUAGCAAGGGCCGGGCAAGACCGGUGCCAGCCGCCGCGGUAACACCGGCGGCUCGAGUGGUAACCGUUAUUAUUGGGUCUAAAGGGUCUGUAGCCGGCCGGAUAAGUCUCUUGGGAAAUCCAGCAGCUCAACUGUUGGGCUUUCAGGAGAUACUGUCUGGCUCGAGGCCGGGAGAGGUGAGAGGUACUUCAGGGGUAGGGGUGAAAUCUUGUAAUCCUUGAAGGACCACCAGUGGCGAAGGCGUCUCACCAGAACGGACCUGACGGCAAGGGACGAAAGCUAGGGGCACGAACCGGAUUAGAUACCCGGGUAGUCCUAGCCGUAAACGAUACUCGCUAGGUGUCGGCCACGGUGCGACCGUUGUCGGUGCCGUAGGGAAGCCGUGAAGCGAGCCACCUGGGAAGUACGGCCGCAAGGCUGAAACUUAAAGGAAUUGGCGGGGGAGCACAAGGGCGAAUNGCGGCCGCUA